CCUACGGGAGGCAGCAGUGAGGAAUAUUGGUCAAUGGGCGGAAGCCUGAACCAGCCAAGUCGCGUGAGGGAAUAAGGCCCUACGGGUCGUAAACCUCUUUUGCCGGGGAGCAAGGGCGGGGACGUGUCCCGGCCCGGAGAGUACCCGGAGAAAAAGCAUCGGCUAACUCCGUGCCAGCAGCCGCGGUAAUACGGAGGAUGCGAACGUUAUCCGGAUGUAUUGGGUUUAAAGGGAGCGUAGACGGGCGUUCAAGUCAGCUGUAAAAUCGCGCGGCUCAACCGCGCCCCGCAGUUGAAACUGGACGCCUUGAGUUCACAACAGGCAGGCGGAAUUCGUGGUGUAGCGGUGAAAUGCAUAGAUAUCACGAGGAACCCCGAUUGCGAAGGCAGCCUGCCGGGGUGCGACUGACGCUGAGGCUCGAAGGUGCGGGUAUCAAACAGGAUUAGAUACCCGAGUAGUC
rnacentral:rRNA from 1 species